rnacentral:rRNA from 1 species
GGAGGGUGCAAGCGUUGUUCGGAAUUAUUGGGCGUUAAAGAGCAUGUAGGCGGGCCUAGUAAGUCUGAUGUGAAAUACCCAGGGCUUAACCCUGGAACUGCAUUGGAUACUGCUAGGCUAGAGACCGAGAGAGGAAAGCGGAAUUCCUGGUGUAGGGGUGAAAUCCGUAGAUAUCAGGAGGAACACCGGAGGCGAAGGCGGCUUUCUGGCUCGGUUCUGACGCUGAGAUGCGAAAGCGUGGGUAGCGAACGGGAUUAGAUACCCCGGUAGUCCACGCCCUAAACGAUGGAUACUAGACGUUGGAGUUCCUAAUAGCUUCAGUGUCGCAGCUAACGCGGUAAGUAUCCCGCCUGGGGAUUACGGUCGCAAGAUUA